rnacentral:rRNA from 1 species
UUAAGUUAACAAGGGCGCAUGGUGAAUGCCUUGGCACUAGGAGCCGAUGAAGGACGGGACUAACACCGAUAUGCUUCGGGGAGCUGUACGUAAGCUAUGAUCCGGAGAUUUCCGAAUGGGGCAACCCAGCAGUUUUAAUCAACUGUUACCACUGGAUGAAUUCAUAGUCUAGUUGGAGGUAAACGCUGUGAACUGAAACAUCUCAUUAGCAGCAGGAAUAUAAAGAAAUUUCGAUUCCCUAAGUAGCGGCGAGCGAACGGGGAACAGCCCAAACCAAAGUGCUUGCACUUUGGGGUUGUAGGACUGAACAUUUGAGUUACCAAAGAACUUGAUAGUCGAAGGAUUUGGGAAAAUCCGCCAUAGAUGGUGAUAGCCCAGUAGAUUAAAUCAAAUUCUCUCAGUUCAGGAUCCUGAGUACGGCGGAACACGUGAAAUUCCGUCGGAAUCCGGGAGGACCAUCUCCCAAGGCUAAAUACUACCUAGUGACCGAUAGUGAACCAGUACCGUGAGGGAAAGGUGAAAAGCACCCCGGGAGGGGAGUGAAAUAGUUCCUGAAACCAUGUGCCUACAAUAAGUCAGAGCGCGUUAAUGCGUGAUGGCGUGCCUUUUGUAGAAUGAACCGGCGAGUUAUGAUCCCGUGCAAGGUUAAGACUAAAAAGUCGGAGCCGUAGCGAAAGCGAGUCUGAAAUGGGCGUUUUGAGUACGAGGUUAUAGACCCGAAACCAGGUGACCUAUCCAUGUCCAGGUUGAAGGUGCGGUAAAACGCACUGGAGGACCGAACCCGUGUAAGUUGAAAAUUGCUGGGAUGAGGUGUGGAUAGCGGUGAAAUUCCAAACGAACUUGGAGAUAGCUGGUUCUCUCCGAAAUAGCUUUAGGGCUAGCCUCGGAAUUAGGAUCAUGGAGGUAGAGCACUAUUUGGACUAGGGGCCCGUCUUGGGUUACUGAAUUCAGAUAAACUCCGAAUGCCAUUGAUUCAUAUCCGGGAGUCAGACGAUGAGUGAUAAGAUCCACCGUCGAAAGGGGAACAGCCCAGACCAUCAGUUAAGGUCCCUAAAUGUAUGCUAAGUGGAAAAGGAUGUGGAGUUGCAUAGACAACUAGGAUGUUGGCUCAGAAGCAGCCACCAUUUAAAGAGUGCGUAAUAGCUCACUAGUCGAGUGAUCCUGCGCCGAAAAUGUACCGGGGCUAAGCAUACUACCGAAACCAUGGAUGCGACCAUUAGGUCGCGUGAUAGGAGAGCGUUCUAAGGGCGGUGAAGCAAGAUCGUGAGGACUUGUGGAGCGCUUAGAAGUGAGAAUGCCGGUAUGAGUAGCGAAAGAUAGGUGAGAAUCCUAUUCACCGAAUGACUAAGGUUUCCUGGGGAAGGCUCGUCCUCCCAGGGUUAGUCGGGACCUAAGUCGAGGCCGAGAGGCGUAGACGAUGGAUAACAGGUUGAGAUUCCUGUACUAGUUAAGUGCGUUUGAGCAAUGGAGGGACGCAGGAGGCUAAGAUGUGCAUUCUGUUGGAUUAGAAUGUCCAAGCAGUAAGUCUUGUGAAGAGUCAAAUGCUUUUCACUUUAAGGACAAGCUGUGAUGGGGAGCGAAAUUUAGUAGCGAAGCGUCUGAUGUCACACUGCCGAGAAAAGCUUCUAGUGAGUACUUAACUACCCGUACCGCAAACCGACACAGGUAGUCGAGGAGAGAAUCCUAAGGUGAGCGAGUGAACUCUCGUUAAGGAACUCGGCAAAAUGACCCCGUAACUUCGGGAGAAGGGGUGCUGAUCGCAAGAUCAGCCGCAGUGAAUAGGCCCAGGCGACUGUUUAUCAAAAACACAGGUCUCUGCAAAAUCGUAAGAUGACGUAUAGGGGCUGACGCCUGCCCGGUGCUGGAAGGUUAAAAGGAUGGGUUAGCUUCGGCGAAGCUCAGAAUUGAAGCCCCAGUAAACGGCGGCCGUAACUAUAACGGUCCUAAGGUAGCGAAAUUCCUUGUCGGGUAAGUUCCGACCCGCACGAAAGGCGUAACGAUCUGGGCACUGUCUCAACGAGAGACUCGGUGAAAUUAUAUUGUCCGUGAAGAUGCGGACUACCCGCGACAGGACGGAAAGACCCCAUGGAGCUUUACUGUAGCUUGAUAUUGAGUGUUUGUACAGCUUGUACAGGAUAGGUAGGAGCCAUAGAAACCGGAACGCUAGUUUCGGUGGAGGCGUUGGUGGGAUACUACCCUCGCUGUAUGACCACUCUAACCCGCACCACUAAUCGUGGUGGGAGACAGUGUCAGGUGGGCAGUUUGACUGGGGCGGUCGCCUCCUAAAAAGUAACGGAGGCGCCCAAAGGUUCCCUCAGAAUGGUUGGAAAUCAUUCGCAGAGUGUAAAGGCACAAGGGAGCUUGACUGCGAGACAGACAGGUCGAGCAGGGACGAAAGUCGGGCUUAGUGAUCCGGUGGUACCGUAUGGAAGGGCCAUCGCUCAACGGAUAAAAGCUACCCUGGGGAUAACAGGCUUAUCUCCCCCAAGAGUCCACAUCGACGGGGAGGUUUGGCACCUCGAUGUCGGCUCAUCGCAUCCUGGGGCUGUAGUCGGUCCCAAGGGUUGGGCUGUUCGCCCAUUAAAGCGGUACGCGAGCUGGGUUCAGAACGUCGUGAGACAGUUCGGUCCCUAUCCGUCGCGGGCGUAGGAAAUUUGAGAGGACCUGUCCUUAGUACGAGAGGACCGGGAUGGACAUACCUCUGGUGUACCAGUUGUGCCGCCAGGCGCAUCGCUGGGUAGCUACGUAUGGAUGUGAUAAACGCUGAAAGCAUCUAAGUGUGAAACACACCUCGAGAUGAGAUUUCCCAUUCCUUUAUGGAAGUAAGACCCCUGAAAGAUGAUCAGGUAGAUAGGUUAGAAGUGGCAGUGCGGUGACGCAUGAAGCGGACUAAUACUAAUCGGUCGAGGACUUAACCAA